rnacentral:rRNA from 1 species
GAUGAACGCUGGCGGCGUGCCUAAUACAUGCAAGUCGAGCGAACGGACGAGAAGCUUGCUUCUCUGAUGUUAGCGGCGGACGGGUGAGUAACACGUGGAUAACCUACCUAUAAGACUGGGAUAACUUCGGGAAACCGGAGCUAAUACCGGAUAAUAUUUUGAACCGCAUGGUUCAAAAGUGAAAGACGGUCUUGCUGUCACUUAUAGAUGGAUCCGCGCUGCAUUAGCUAGUUGGUAAGGUAACGGCUUACCAAGGCAACGAUGCAUAGCCGACCUGAGAGGGUGAUCGGCCACACUGGAACUGAGACACGGUCCAGACUCCUACGGGAGGCAGCAGUAGGGAAUCUUCCGAAAGGGGCGAAAGCCUGACGGAGCAACGCCGCGUGAGUGAUGAAGGUCUUCGGAUCGUAAAACUCUGUUAUUAGGGAAGAACAUAUGUGUAAGUAACUGUGCACAUCUUGACGGUACCUAAUCAGAAAGCCACGGCGAACUACG